CAGGGAGUAGUUUAUUAAAAUAUUAAUUUUGGAGAUUAAUGAUAGGUAAUAUAUUUACUUUUCUCUGA
rnacentral:tRNA from 1 species